UCCUGGGCCCAGGCGGACCCAGAGCCAGCCGGCAUCUUGGAUGCCCUCCCGGACACUGUGAAGAAGAUUGCACACACCCUGGGGAACAAGGACCAGGGAGUCCCUGACAAGCUGAAAAAGAAGGACUCUGCUUCAGUCACCCGGAAAGUGGCGGCAAAUACAACCAAAAAUAUUCCAGUUAAAAUAGAUCUCAUUCCCG